GAAUUAAUCAACCCUGGAAUUUUAGACUUCUUGUAUGAGAUAAUACAUUUUCCUUAUUGUUUAGGCAAUAAACUUUUCAUUUCCUGUAGCCAAGACAUCAUAACUGAUAUUACCUGCCAUUAUUUUAUUUUUAGGUACGAUUUAUAUAAAGACAAAUGUUUAUGAUUUCUCAUAUGUCUUAUUCUCUUAGAUCAUUAAAAUUACAGACAAUGAACAAUAUUUUUCUUUUCUUCAGUUGGCUGGCUCUAUAUGGCAUGUGCUUCCACUCUUCCCUUCAGUGCACCGAUCGGAUGAGCUGAUUGAUUGAUUGUUCCGUUCAUCAGUCAUUUUUAGGUAUCUUUUUAAAUUCUUCAGCAUGGCACCUAUAACUUUAAGUAGAAAGAACUAUGUGGAUAGCUGAAUUCCCUAAAAUUGGAAGAAUGAAGAGGAGGUGUGAAAGGAGAGAAAGAGCCCUUUCUUGUGGUAUCUGGCCCUUCUGUGUACCAGGUGAAAAGAGGGUUGACAAUGUGGUAAAACGAAAUUGCCAUCUUUUGUGGUCAGCCAGUGCACUGAGCGUUCGGCCCCUUGAGGUAUUUUUGUGCAGCUUUUCCGAGAAGCAUUGCCUUGUCUCCACUGAACUGAUAACGAUGAAACUUCAAUCCCUAUUGCCUUCAAUCAUUUUCUUAUUGUGCCAGCUCAAUGACUUUUCUUCAAUUCCAGUUUCCUGGCACCAGAUCUGGCAGAGGCUGAAGAAGAAAAUGCCUUUGGUGUGGGUUCCACUGAACUUCGCUUUUAAUUCCCUGUUAAUGUACAAUCUGAAGUCUUAUUCAGAGAAAAAUUGUGUUCAUGUUUGUGGCAAAAAGGAAUGCAGAAAAGUGACAGAUGUAAGAUGAGAGAAGAGGCAGCCUUUAAUCAUUUUGUUGUCAAAGCAGCUUUGGAUUGCCCUUUGAAGAAAGUGUUUUCCUCGCUGCUUCUGCAAAACUAGAGACUCAUUCUCUUGCCCUUUGCAAAUUCCUUACCCAGGCGGUUACACUCCACACUGGAUGCAAAACUUCUAAACCCUAGAUUUAAACCCUAUGGAACACUCCGCUUUAUACAUUUACAGUGCAGAAGAAUUGGAUCUCUUUGCCCUGGUGACUCAGUUUACAUAUAAUCCUCAUAGAAAGAAAGGCGACUUUUGGUAAAACCCAGUGACCAAGGAACUUGUUUUCAUUUGCGUUUGGGCCAGCCAUAUUUCACAAGAGAGGCUAAGUGUUAAAGCAUAUGAUGUUUACAAAGUAAAAGCCUAUUUUCCCUUAAUCCCUGCAUGACCAUAAUUAGGCAGGAGAGUUAAUUUUAUGUAAAUCAUGCAUUACUGUAAUUGGGCGCAAGUGAACAUUCAUGUACAUCCUGUUUAAAAGAGAAAUAUAAUGUUAUUAUGUGGAUGCUGGUGCAGUGAAGUCUCAACCCUCUAGGGGGACGUCUGCGACGUCACCGGCUGUUUACAAGACUUCGGUCUGUGAGCUUAAUUACAGGUUGCCCAGAUCGUGCUGUCCUGUGAGGAGCUGAGCCACAUGCCUUCAGAAAGGCUGAGAGGUGGAACACUGGGGCUUCCCUUCCUGUUUUUUUCCCCUAACCUCUGCUUAUGGAGAGGUCAUUUUUCUCUUUCUAUUCAUCUUUUCAAACCUAAACAAUGCUUUCCAAUGGUUUGCUCCGCUUGGCAGUUCUGACCCAUAUUUCCCCAGGCAGACCACAGAUGGAUUUGUCUUCAGUAAGCAGGGGCUGGGCUGCUUCCUUUUUUAGCCUGCCUUUUCUAAGGCUGCUCAGGGCUGCUUUAAGACCCCAGGAUUUUGUUUUGCAAGUGUAACCGGAUCAGAUAGCAUCCAGAAGCCUGCCUGUGUGAUGGCCACAGUG
ensembl:lncRNA